ensembl:snRNA U6 U6 spliceosomal RNA
GGGUUCCACCCAGCAGCUCAUAUACUGAAAGUAAAAGGAUACAGAUAUAAGCAUGGCCCCCGUGCAAUGAUGCCAUGCAAAUCCACGAAAUGGUUCAUGAUUUA